UUUAUUUUUUUUGCCAGAUAAUGUAUACUUGAAUAUUUCUCCUGUAGGAUGAAGAUGAUGAAGAUGACGAUGAAGAGACCACAUCUGCUGUGACAGAAGUGGACAAUGCUGGUAGAUCCACUGAGUACAUACCUAGGGAUUUGCCCACAGAUGAGGGUCCUUCAACCUCAGCACACAAUCUAAGCAGGUUGCCAGCAAAGGAGCUGUAUAAGGUCCAUCUUCAAAAACAAAUAAGAAAAAGUGACAUGGAGAUGGACCUUAUACAGCUUCAAAUGGAAGAGAAAAGGCUCUUCAUUAAAAAAGCAGCACUUGAAAUUGAAUUACUGGAGCAUCGCCUUAAGGAAAUAAAGAAAUAAACUGCCUGGCAGACCAGUGCAAAAAAGUUAAUAAAAGUAAUUUUGACAGA